rnacentral:rRNA from 1 species
UACGUAGGGGGCGAGCGUUGUCCGGAAUCAUUGGGCGUAAAGCGCGUGUAGGCGGUUCGGUAAGUCUGCUGUGAAAGUCCAGGGCUCAACCCUGGGAUGCCGGUGGAUACUGCCGAACUAGAGUGCGGAAGAGGCGAGUGGAAUUCCCGGUGUAGCGGUGAAAUGCGUAGAUAUCCGGAAGAACACCGAUGGCGAAGGCAACCACCUGGGCCUGCAUUGACGCUGAGGUACGAAAGCGUGGGGAGCAAACAGG